AAAAUCUAUAUGAAAAAAUAAUAUAUAUAAAUAAAUUUUUUAUGAUUUAUUAAAUUUAAUUUAAAUUUAUUUUACAUGUAAAUUUUAGUGUUAAUUUUUAAUUAUUUUAAUAAUAAUUAUUAAUAUUGCAGUAAUUAGAAUUAAAAAUUUAAGAAAUUAAGAUUUAGUAAUAUUUAAAUUUAUUAACAAAUUUUGUGCCAGCAGUUGCGGUUAUACAAAAAAUGAUUUAAAUUUUAUCAGUAUAUAAUAAAUAAAAUUAUUAUUUAAAUUAAAUAUUAGAUUAUUAAGUGAAAUUUUAAUUUAAUUAAAAUUUAUAUAAAUUUUAUGAUUUAUUAAAUUUUAUAAAAAACUAGGAUUAGAUACCCUAUUAUUAAAAAUUAAAUUUAUAAUACUAAAAUAGUAGGUAAUUAUUUAUUGAAACUUAAAUAAUUUGGCGGUAUUUUAGUUCAUUUAGAGGAAUCUGUUUAAUAAUUGAUAAUCCACGAAUAAAUUUACUUAAUUUAUUAUUUUGUAUAUCGUUGUUAAAAAAAUAUUUUUUAAUGAAAAUAAUAUUUUAAAAUUUUUAUUUAAAAUUAAUUCAGAUCAAGAUGCAGAUUAUAAUUAAGAAUAUAAUGGAUUACAAUAAAUAAAUUUAAAUGAAUAAUAUUUUUUAAUAAAUAUUUGAAGGUGGAUUUAAAUGUAAUUUUAAUUAAUUUAUUAAAAUGAUUUUAAAUUAAAAUAUGUACAUAUUGCCCGUCGCUUUCAUUAAUAAAUUGGAAUAAGUCGUAACAAAGUAGAGGUACUGGAAAGUGUUUCUAGAAAGAA
rnacentral:ncRNA from 1 species